AGCGUUUGUGCUUCUCUAGGUUCAUGCUUAAGAACUGCUUGUGGUUCUUGAGCUCUGGAAAGAGAAGCGAAAGACUUAGUGGUUCCUCUCGCUAUCCUGGGCAUAAAUCUUUUUGAUGUCGCUGGACGUUGAGGAACUACAUGU
rfam:Oryza brachyantha chromosome 4, whole genome shotgun sequence.